AUACUUACCUGGCAGGGGCAAUACCAUGAUCACGAAGGUGGUUUUCCCAUGGCGAGGCUGCUUAUCCAUUGCACAACGGAUGUGCUGACCCCUUCGAUUUCUCCAAAUGUGGGAAACUCCACUGCAUAAUUUGUGGUAGUGGGGGACUGCAUUCGUGCUCUCGCCAG